rnacentral:rRNA from 1 species
UACGUAGGUGGCAAGCGUUGUCCGGAUUUACUGGGCGUAAAGGAUGCGUAGGCGGAUACUUAAGUCAGAUGUGAAAAUCCCGGGCUUAACUUGGGAACUGCAUUUGAAACUGGGUAUCUAGAGUGCGGGAGAGGAAAGUGGAAUUCCUAGUGUAGCGGUGGAAUGCGCAGAUAUCAGGAAGAACACCAACGGCGAAGGCAGCUCGCUAGGACGGUACUGACGCUGAGACGCGAAAGCGUGGGGAGCGAACAGG